AAUAAUAUCUCCCUAGAUGGUUAUGAUUAUUUUAAGUUAAAAAAAUGGUGGUUAUUGAGAGUAGGACGCAGUUUUUAAAUUGUUGUGCAAUAAUAGGCUUACUACACGUUAAUGAUGGGCAAUUAACCUGUGUUUAUUAAGCCGACUAAACGUCUUAUCACUAAGUGUGGGAGGACCUAUGAAAUGGCGAGACCUUUAGGGCGAUUAAAUGAAUCAGUUCCUUCUGAGGGAUAGCUAAUAUCGACCGAAAGAACAACCUCUUGAGAAAUCGUUCAGAUGACUAUCUUGCUAUUCAUCAUCUCCAUCGGAUAGGCCAAUUGGAGUAGUCGUAUAACAAACAACUUGUCCUUUAUUAACAACAGUUUUCUAUUUCACUACUAAACAGGUAAACUGCUGUUUUAGUUUUGAAACAGCAGUUUCAUGAUCGGCGGUUUUGAAAUAGCAAAAGCAGAAUCUAUCUAUGUAAAUAUCAUAAAGCUGAGCUCUAAUAUAGGCUCACAAUACACUGCCAAGUGGCGCUCUGUUUUGCUGCCAUCUGGUGCUCUGUUGUGAAUCAUAUAUUACCUCUAUUUUCUCCACAUUUUUAGCCCGUAUUUCCUCCAGCUUUUUAACUCCCACCGUUAAGUUAUCAGACACUAUGCUUUCUCCUUUAUAUCUUCCCCUCAACGUUUUAACUCCUUAACAAGAUACAUGUUUUCAGUAACUAUGUCUCUCCGUUUCAUCUUUCAGCCCAUUCCAAUUCCAUGUUUCAUCUUUAUGUUACAACAAAAAUCCUUUUGAUUGCCAUGAAAGUUCCAACUCAUGUUACAAACAAAAAUGCUUUUGAUAGUGCAAAUAUUUUCAUAUUCGUUACUUCGCGUGUUUGAUCUAUUUGCUUUAAUUUCAUGCUUAGAACGUGUUUGGUGCAAUGCCUCUCUGUUUUCAUGGUACAAAUUGGACAAGAAAUGCUGUAGUGGAGGCUAUAGACUGCAGUUUAGAAAUCAACAAAUCAGGCCUCUAUCUCACCAGUAUGCAUGCAUUAUAUUUGGCAGUCGUGAGGUUGUUCUCUUGCAAUCAUCAAUAAGCUGUAUGAUUGAUACUUCCAGUUCUACAAGGAGAUUUUGAUAGCUCAUCUGAUGAACAAUCCCCCACCCACCAAGAAAAAAAAGGGUUUAUCAACUACAUAGCCUAUCAUAACUAGCGACAAUUUUUUGAGAGCAUCUGAAAGAGGAACUAAAUACGAUGGAAUCUGAGAGUGCUAAGAUCUCCUGUGAAAUUGAAGUUCUUACAAGAAACCAUUUGAGGGGUAGGUUUAUCUUUGUUCUGAAUUUAGUAUUUAGUUAUUCAUGUGUUUUUGACCUAGGUUCAUUGUGUGUUUCUAAAUUCUACUCAAUUGGAGAGUGACACUGAAUUGUUGAAGUGUUCGUUAGGUAUCUCCUAUGAGUUUCGAUUUGUAUCAGUUUUAUGUGGGCAUUUUCCUUAUAUCUGGAAGUUGUAGCAAUACAUUGUAUUGCAGCAAUUGCAAAGAACAAAAGACAUUGACAGAUUAAUGGGAAAAUAUGUC